GGGGGUAUAGCUCAGUGGUAGAGCAUGCGCGAGGUCCUGGGUUCCAUCCCCCGAACCUCCG
rnacentral:tRNA from 1 species